GCCUAAUUUGCCUUGGCAAAAACGUCUGUAUUGUACUGACUGUGUCCUUGAAAGAAGAAAUACCACAGACUAUACCUAAGGGAGUCAUUUUAGCAACCUCAGUGUUCCACGUAAAUGGCAACCUUUACUCGGUGUAAUUCUAGAUCUCAGUGAAGAUGACGGAAUUAGAUUCUGCCAGAUGAAGAUCGAGGGACCUUUGCAACCAAACACCAGGAAUAUUAUAAGGUGCUUUUUGGUCGUGGUCCAUAUCAGAAUCCUCCCAGAUGGAGGGCUCCCAGCACUAGCAAUGGGAGGGCAUUGUGAAGCGAUUCUCUUUAACAGAUUGUCUGCGGUAAGAGAAAAGGCGGCAGGCGCAGUGGUGGGAAAGUGGGGAGGUGCAGUGAGUGGAAGAUGGCGCUGAACCCCUGCUGAAAUUUGGUAGAUGCGGCACAGCAGUGGCACUGCAGACGGCUCAUUCGGAAGCACUCGCCAGUUCGAAAGGGAGGAUGCUAAGAGCAUGUUCAGCCUUUCCGGUAGAGCUCAAUACUGAUAACAUAUCAGCUCUAAAAAAUCACCUGGUGGCUAAGGGGGUUUCAUGGGGAAAUCAGUUCUAUAAAAUGAAGAUUUCAGUUCAAAAAAGGAAUUUGGUUAUCUGAUCGUUUUACUUAGGAUAAGAGUUUAAAGAGCAAGAAAGAAAAGCACCUGCACAGAGGAGAAGCCAGCUAAAGCGAUGGCUUGCUUGCUUGUUUACUUAUUUAUUUAAACCAUUUAUAACCUGUCUAUACCAACAGAUCUCAAGAUGGCUUACAACAGAACAGCACAAUUAAAAUACAAUCUGAAAACAUAUAAUAAAACCCUACCAUUAAAUUCCAUUCAGUCUUAAAAUACCAGGUAAAAAAUGGACUUUGGCUUGGCGCUGAAAUAAAUAAAGUCUAGGCACCAGGCACGCCCCUAUGGGGAGCAGAUUCCAGAGUUGGGGUGCUGCCACAGAAAAGGCCCUUCUCUGAGUAGCUACUCUUCUGAUCUUCAAAGUGGGUCCCCAGGGAAGGACCUCAGUGGAAGAAUGUAAGACUUGGGCAGGUGUGUAGGGAAGGACUGUUUGGACAAGACCAGUUGCACAUCAUGCUGGUGCAAACCCUUGUGCCGCAGAAAGAAUCAGCAGAGCUUUGUGAACACUGUUUGAGUUAGGUCCUGAUUGGAUAGCGCCCAUGGACUCUACCUAUUUCCUCAAAUGUGUGUUAAAUGCUAGUCUGGGAGAGUCUUGUGUAUGUAGCACAGAGAUGCAUUAAAUGGUUGAAGAAUUCAGUGCAUAAGGUCUCUAGUUUCAGCUUUUCCAAUAGACAUUUGAACCAUCUUUUUUUAAAACAGAAAACAGCACCAGCUGAAAAUUAUUAAACACAUUUCUUUAAAAAAAAAAAGCGAUUGCCCUGUUUGUGGAGAAAUCACUUUUUGCUUCCAGCACAGGCACUAACUAAAAACCUGCCUCCCAUUUAUUCUUAAUCAAUUAAGAAUAAGAGAAUCCUCAUUAUAUUUGACAGUCAGGAACUGGCAAUUCUGAAUCUGCAGGGUAGGAGAACUGCAAACAUAGCCUUCUAACAGUCCCUGUAUGAUGCACAUUCUGUUCGGAAAUGCUGCUUCGCUGAAGGUUUGUUCCUAUUGAGACUGUAUGGACAAAUGUUGCAGGAAGUCUGGUGAUAAUAGGAAGUUGCUAUACACAGAAGUGGAGGGUUUUCUUAGUACAGAAAUAAUAGUGUCUUUAUUUUGGGAAGGUUGAGGUUUCCCAUAAUCUGGGCUGUUCUUAAUAAAGAAUAUAAGUACUUUCCCCCAAAAGUUUUUCUUCAGGAGCGUCCUAGUGGCAACACACUCAGCUUUUUGCAGAUCUAUGAAAGUCAUUCAACAGCAGAGGGGAAACCCCGAAUGGAAAUGAUGGAUGUGGUUUGGAAUUGAUUUUUCUUUGGGCAUCUUUAUCAUGGCUUUCUUACAGUUUUUUAACUGGUAGCCUGUGUCUGUCAACUGCAAAUCCUCAGCAUGGUGUACAGCAGUUCUGUCCACCCUGUUAGCACUUUUGAAGCACUUUGUUUACUAUUUAUUUAUUAUACUUAUAUCCGGCCUUCUUUUCUUUCAAGGACCUCAAGGCAGUAUACAUAACUCUCCUCCUCCUCCUCUCAAUCUUAUUCACACAACUGGCUGGUGACGUAGUUUGGGCUGAGAGUGUGGCUGGCCCAAAGUCACCCAGAUACUUCCGUGGCCAAGUAGGGACUAAAAACCAGAACUCCUGGCUCCCAGUCCCACACUCAGCACACUAGCUGUCUGUACGUGCUUUGCAUCCUCAUAAUUCUUGUUCUGGAUUUUAAUUGGAAACUUAAGAUUCUUAAGUGAUAAACUGGGAGCUGCGUGGCUCUACCAACUCACAACUAGCCAACUGGGCUGUCCAUAUGUUUUUAAGAAUAAGAUAAAGAAGAAACUCUCUCUUUGAUAUUUGAGAGGAGAAAAAUGGGAAGGAUUGAGAUGAGAAAGAGAGGACAGGGAGUCCUAAUGAAGACCAGCACCCAGACAUAAGGUAAGUCUCUGGAUGACUUUAUGGAGCCACAUAUGUUUGCAGCGCAUUUCUUGCAAACUGCAAAACAGCCCAGGCCUCAUUGAUUAGCAAAAUAGGAACAAGAGCAGAAAGCUCUUCCUUUAGUUUUUCUACUGUAUCAGCUUCUGGUUUUGUUCCAGCACUGAGACCUGAGCUUUACACAAAAUGUUCAUCCUUCCCCGCUUUCCUGCUACUUGACCUCUAUGCAGCGCUGUGCCACUGCAGAAUCCUGCAAAUACAUUGGGCAAAAGCACGCCCUCUUCCCCAUUGUAAUUUAAUGUCUCAUUUUCCUCUUCUAAACCUGGGAAAGUACUCCGGAGACACUUUUGAAAAGGAAAUCAAACUGGAGGAACACAACUUCAUCUAAAGAUCCUGUGAACAACCACAAGAUUCAGUCACCCUGCUAUCAUGGUUCAGCGCUGGUGGACUGCACCCAAAGACUCCGCCUUCCAGACAAACCCUGCCUUAUUUGAAGCCUUUCACUGAUGGCUUUCGGGCAGUGCUCUCUCAGGCCAGCAGCAGGCCAAUUCCUGGUGCUUCCCAAGAAGUACAGCCCAUCCAGGCCAAAUCCUGUACCUCUUUCAUACUGAUACAUAUGCUGAAGUGGGGAAUUCAACACUCCUUUCAUGGUCCUGAGGGUGCCCUCCUCCAGGCCCUAUUUGCAUCAGGGGGAGGCCUCCAUUGACCCAAAUCCUGAAGGACAAGCUCCUUCUCCAAGUACUGAUCCUUAUGAAGUCCAAACAGGACCAUUCAUACACACAGAGGAAGCCACAGGGAGCGUAGGGAAUUGCAAAGUUUGCAGAAACACUCUCAAUGAAGAACAACAAACAACCUUCCCAAAUCACCAUACCUUAAGGGGGAACCCAAAAUUACAGUUUGAUGAAGACUGAGCGUACCCAGUCAGGAGGCUGGAAACCAUGGAGGUGAGGUGGAAUGGGGUAUUCUAGGAAAGGGUAUGCCUGAUGGAGCAGAUAGACACAAUUGUAAUUUUAAUGCUGCUGAGACCACUUGCAUGGUUUUGUUUCUGUUCUACAAGUGUGCGGGACAGUUUGUUCCCAGUACAGAUGGGUAAUACUGCCAGAUAACAAUUUUACCAGUUUGAUGUAAAAGAGAUGCAACAGUAUUACCCUAAAAAGGGUGUGUUGCUGUUGCAUGGGGAAACUGAAUUAUUCAUUGAGGAAGUUCACACUUUACACUCCUUGCCAUAUCCACAAUGUCUGCAGUCUGGGAGAGCUGCUAACAUUCUCCGUUGAGGGCACUAAGUGAGAACGAUGGACCAACGCUCUCUCUAAGGCAGUUCUGAUUUUCGCAUGAACCUUCCCUAUAUCUGGGGAUUAUAUUGAUUCCCAAAUUGCCAUCAAUUGAAUUAUCUUGGAUUAGGAGCCAUCCGGUACUCCAUCUUGCAAAUUUCUGCCCUGCACCACGCUAUCUCCAAGUUGGAAAGUCUUACAUGCCAUAUUGGUAGGGCCUGUUUGGAAGCACUGGCUAUAUGCAUCAAACUUCAGGCCUUGCAAAUAUUUCAGCCACAUUUUUUAACCAUUAGCUUAGUUCACUGAGAACAUGGACUUCCAGGAAUUAAGAUUCAAGCCAUAUAUGGCUUUCUAAUGCUGCAGCAGCUUGAACCUAAUCCAGAAGAAAUGAGGAGGCCAAUAUCACUUCUUUUGGAAGACGUUUAGUAAUACGGUUGCAACAACAAACACUGGCUAAACUAGAGCGAGCUGCAUCUGCUGUAGCUUCCAAGAAGUCUUCAAGGGUGGCACUGUACCCAGCACAUUGCAGUAAUACUAUCUGCCUUUUCACAGGGCUGGGGAAAGUGCUGAACCUGAAAGAAAUUCUCGUUAUCAUUCCACCAAGUGCAAAGGGACUUAUGGCCACUGAAACAUACAGCAAAUCUUUUUCAGCAACCAGAAUCUUGUGCGGAUACUCUACAAGAGAUCAUGUCUUAAGGCUAUAAUCCAGGGCCCCUUGCAGAUGCAGACCCUCUGCAAGAGCACGGGAAACGAUCCUCCGUCUCGGCUCAGUGGAAGUUGUCUUCACGAGUUAUGUCCAGCCACUGCCCUGUGGCAGAAUUUGCCGCUAUAAACGUACUCUCAGGAAAGAUGGUUUAUCAGAUUUCUCCUUAAAUUGGAAGAAAUGUUUUUCCUCAACCACUCUAAUCCACUUGUUCAGCUGUCCCCAACUGUGCUUCAGUUGGGAUGCUUUCCAAGUUACUAAUCACACAUCAACUGAAAUCCCCUAAAUGGAGACAUAACCAGCCCUGUCUGACCCAUGCGCUUAUAAACAGAGCUGGCCUCCGAAGUUACAGUAAGAUGGAUAGACAACAUUUUCAGUACAUGCAAUGAGAUAUAUGUGACAUACGCACACUGAGAAAUAAAGACACUGGACUUUCCCAUGCAGUGCCAUUUGGGAAUAACAAGAUGAAAAACAUUUUUUAAAAGUUGAUAGAACAUGGCAUGCUACACCUCCAUGUGGGGU